rnacentral:piRNA from 1 species
UGAACCAUCUUUUCAGAUGAUCUGGUAGCU